rnacentral:rRNA from 1 species
GACGAACGCUGGCGGCGUGCCUAAUACAUGCAAGUCGAACGCAGUGGGGACGGGUGAGUAACACGUGGGUAACCUCCCAUCAGAGGGGAUAACACUUGGAAACAGGCGCCAAAGCGAUAACGAUGGAUGGACUCGCGGUGGAUUAGCUAGUUGGGGAGGUAACGGCUCACCAAGGCCACGAUGCAUAGCCGGCCUGAGAGGGUGAUCGGCCCCACUUGUACUGAGACACUGCCCAGACUCCUACGGGAGGCAGCAGUGGGGAAUCUUCGGCAAUGGGCGAAAGUCUGACCGAGCAACGCCGCGUGAGUGAAGAAGGUUUUCGGAUCGUAAAGCUCUGUUGUUAGAGAAGCGGUAUCUAACCAGAAAGCCCCGGCUAACUACGUGCCAGCCGCCGCGGUAAUUC